AAAACAUCUCUCUUUGUAAGUUAAAAUAAGGAGUAGGCCCUGCCCGGUGGAAAUUUUCAAAUUUCUAAACGGAAAGGUUAACUUUUAAAGUAGCGUAAUAAUUUGUCCCUUAAUUAGGGUCUGUAUGAAUGGGUUGACGUGGGAGAACUGUCUUGAAAUAGAUAUUUGAAAUUUUCUUUCUAGUGAAAAGCCUGGGAUGAAGUUAAAAGACGAGAAGACCCCGUCGAGCUUGAUAUUGGGUUGAAUUGAGAUGAAUUCUCUACCAUAAGGUUAGUUGGGGUAACUCUGGAGAAUUAAAACCUCCAGUAUUUUUUUCGUGGAUCCAUAAUUUUUUAUGAAAAAAGGAAAAAGUUACCGCGGGGAUAACAGCGUAAGACGGCCAGAGAGUUCGUAUCUAAGGCUGUAAGUGCGACCUCGAUGUUGGAUUAAGGGAAGCGGGGGGGUUGCAGGAGCUCCCUUUUGCGGGACUGUUCGUCCUUUAAUUCCUUACAUGAUCUGAGUUC
rnacentral:rRNA from 1 species